AGGGAUGGUUUUCUACCUGGAGAUCUUUCUACUGGAGUAUUUUGUGUUUCCUGAUUUUUUUGACAGAGCUAAUCUCUCAAUGCCAAAACAUCAGUUUCCAUCCACCAUUUCCGUAAAUUACCUUGCUCAAUGGACUCCUGAUCAGCGAUGUUGAGAUGGAGAUGUGACAGCCAUAAAAAGUGUAAAUAACAAGGGUAGUUUUUGUAGAAGUUUAAAUCUGGACUAAAAGUAUUUAACUUUUUCCUCUCGAGAUACAGAGGAGAUGGAUCAAUCCAGACCAACUCGCUUUCAGCGUGAACUGAUAUAACUCACAGUGACAUCUGUGGGAGCAAAAGAGCACAAGCCAUUUUGAGCUCAGUCAGAAGAAAAUAAUGUAUGCUGCUCUUUUGUUUCCAUGCAUUGAUUCAUACCACCUUUUUUUUUUCUUCUUUCUUAGUUGUCUGUAUUUUAGAAAAAUAUGUAUAAGCUGUUAUUAUACUAGAAAAGUUUUUUUUGCUUGUACCCAUAGGUGGAAAUUCCUAUGCCAGUAGAUUCUAUUAAUUUUUGAGAACUGGUUUGUUUAUAUGGUCUCUACCAACUAUAGUGCAAGAGUGAAAAAUAUGCCAAACAAUUUCUAACUCACAAAAACUGUGAUUAAACUCAGUUAGGAUUCAAUACACUCUGCAGAGGUUAAUUAAAUUUUUAUGGAUUUAUUCUUCAUUCAGUGCUUUAAAAAGUUGUUCUGUUUAGUUAUCAUUGCCAAGUUGACGAUGGGGGAAAUUGAAAGUCCUGAUCUACAUCAAUCUUCUGUGUUGCCAGACAUUGAAAUAAUUUGCAGGAUAUCAGUAUGGCGUGAAAUGGGGAAAGAAGAGAGAACUACAGCUGAAUGAUGUUUAGGUGAGCGGUGGGCUAUCAGGAAUUUUAGACAAGCACAACAGAGAUAUUGGGACUUUAUCUCAAUGGGAUUAAGCUAUUGAAGAAUGAAUGCUUUUCAGCUCAAACUGGAUAGCCAAGGAUGCGACUAGGUCAAUUCCAUGAAGAUAAUACAGUUAGAAAGAGUAGUAAAGGGCAGAGUUGAGUUCUGGAAAAGCUAUGAUCUCUUAAGAUAAUUGCAGCAGUAAUAUAGAGAUCUCCAACAUAUCACCUAGAAUACCCAAGUGGGGAUGGGUGUUUUCUCAAGGUAGUGUCAGAUAGGCAGGUAGCAAAGCAGUCAAUGUCCCAAGAGGAUUACAACUGAUGUAUUACACAUAGCAGGUGGUUGUGAUAAAUAGAAAAGAAUGCUGAGAGAUUAAAGCAACAAUAUACAAUAUAAAGACUACUUUGAAAGCUUCAGUUUCUGCUUUAUCUACUCUGUAAGCCUGGCAUGCAGCAAAGCUGGAAACUUGUUUAAGUUCAUCUCUCUUAAGAAAAGCACUAUGGCAUGUGUUUAAUUUCUGGUUUGUGGUGAUAAUGCUCUGCUAAAUGUGGAUUGACUGCUGAAUGUGGGCCUGAGGAUCUUGUUAAAACACUGGUUAAAGGAAAUCCAGUUAACAUUAUUUAUUAAAAAGCUUUAACUGCGUUCCUUACAAGAAGUUCCUUAGGAAGCUGAUCUGUCAUGGAGCAAGGUUCUGCCUGGGGGUAAAAACUGGUAGAAAGACUAAAAAAAAGGGUCAGACAUGAUAGUGACACUUCAUUACGGAAGGACAAUUGUCACAGGUACCUACAACAGGCACGAAAUUUUUUGCUUGCAGGGAUGCAAGCUCUGUACACUGAGCAGUCUGAAAAGUAAAUGAGAACAGUUUAAUUUCCAAAAUUUAUAAUAAAUUAUAGUAUAUUUAUUCUUGUUUAAGCAGGUCUAGAUAAUGAUCAUCCCAAAUAUUCCAGUCAGGCUGUUUUUGUUGCAAGCCUACAUUUAAUAUCUGAGCUCCUUGGAGAAUAGCUCUUGCUUUCUUUUUAAGUUGGAAAAUAUCUUGCAUAGUCCCAGCAGCAGCUGAGACAAAUACCCAUAAAUAUCGUUAAUAAUCUGGAAUAAGGCCUUAAAGCAGCAAAAUAUAUAUUUUUUUUUGCCAGGAUAAUUGUUUUAUCAGACAGAAUUCAGAUCAGGCAAGAUUAAAUAAGGCUUUGGAGAUGCCCAGACUAAACUAUCUGCACAACAUUUAUGACAGAUGAAAUUCACUGCAGAUAACUUCAAGGUGAUACACAUGAGAAAGGAUGAUUCACUUGCUCAUAUACAUAGCUGAGUUAUAAAUUAGCUGUAAUCACUCAAGAAAAAGAACUUGCUAUUACUGAGGACAACUCCAUGACAGCAGUGAUCAAGAUGCAAAAAAAAAAAAGUCAAAACGUAUUAAGAGAGGGUUAUGAUAAAAGGCUGGAAGCAUUAUAAUGCCAUGGCUGUGCAUGGUCUGCAUUCACCUUGAACACUGUGCCCAAUUUUUGUCACCCUACUUCAUAAGUAACUUAGUAAAAUAAAAAGUAUUCAGGAAAAAAAAAGCACAAUUAUGAAAUCAGCAGCUAGGAAACUUUCUAGAUAAGGGUAACAUUUAAGUAAUACAAACGUAUGAUUUUAAAGUUCAGUUUUGCUCUUGUAGAGUAUACACCGUGGACUUGGCCACUGCCUAAAAGACAAACUGACAGAAAUCAGAAGUUUAAUGCAAUUUGUGUGUACAAUAUAUUCCUGUAAAAUAAAGUACUUCAAGAUCUUUAUCACUUUCAAAAAAACCACCCAAACUGUCAUUAACUUUGCACCUUAGAAGCAGGCAACCCAAAGAAGGAACAUAACCAACCAAAGAGAUGCCAGCCAAGUGGCAGAUAAGGAUAUGUGUAGGGAAAAGGUAGAUUAGUUAAUGUUUCAAAUUCAUUGAGGACUUUUUUUGUUUUCCCACAGUGGAUUCUCCAAUUUGUCUAGCAUAUUCCGAAGACUUUUCAUGUCGUCUUCUGUGGUUUUAUCAUGUGUAGAGAUGUAUCGUAUCUAACAUACAUAGAAGUACAUCAGUGGAAGAGCAUACCAGCAAGAAUUUUCCCUACGAGCUACUAUAUAUUAUUACUAUGCUGCAUUACUCUCAGGUUUUUGCUUGAUGAUUGGAUUAUAUCAAUAUAGUGUAUUAUAUUUCUGUGCUGGAUUGCUUUCAAAUAAGCUACCUGAAUGAAUGAUAACUGAAUUGGCAUCACCGUAUAAAGUAUUAUUGUGAGAGAAAGCAUCAUGGCAAAAUAAGAUGAGAAAA